UUGUAAAAUUAAUAUUGCUCUCCUUUAUAUGUCAGAAUAUGGUAGUUGACUUAGUGCAGUUGGUAAUGUUCAACCCUGCCGCAACUCCAACCCGCUACUCAAACCCGACUCUAACCCGACUCUGACCCGAUUUGAACCCUCGAUGGAAACGUAGUCAUAUACAAUAUACACGAUGAGGAAAAAUGAAGGCAUAAAAACAGCUGAUGAUAUAAGAAAUGUGCAAGAUCAAAGCAACGUUAUAAUCAAUUUUACUGGUAUACUUAUAAAAUUUGAUAUGGUGGACAAAAGUAUAUUGAUAAGAAGAAGAAUUAGUGAUAGAAGUAUACAAAAUAAAAGAUCACUUGGUAUAUUAAGUGUCAAAAAUAUUGCAAAAUUGCAUGCACGUUGCUCUUGGUUACUUGUCAUACUCGACUAAUCAGAGAUGGGAUGCGCAGAACGAAUGAAAAUUGAUCGAACGGCGGAUGGAGUGUACGAAGUGGGAGUAUAAACAAUAAACAAAAAACAAGCAUUGUUUCACCGGGUUGAAAAUACAAUACGUACACAAAAUUUAAUUGUACACAAUUACGAGAAGUAACAAUAUAUGAUUUUGUCAUACAUAUAUAAUAUUUUAAAAUUUAAGAAAUGGGAAUUGUUGUUUCUCGCAACAAUCUUAAUCUCUUUAAAAUGGUCUACAAUCAUUACAAUCCGACCAGACAUAAAUUAUUUAACAGAGAUAGAGAAAUGUCCAGCAUGCUUUGGCAUGUCUGCGUGUAAUUAUAUUGAUGAAGUAGAUAUUACGUUUCGUGAUGUUUAUUCCACGUUUUCUUAUUUUUUUGGUGUAAAAAAUAUAUUUUUUGGCACACUUAAUAAAAAUAAGGUUAUAUUGAAGAAGCUGGCACAUACCUCUGAAUUAAAUGAAUUCGACCGGCUGCUUUGUGAAAAUGCAAGUUUAUCUUAUCUUUGUACAAUGAAUGCACAGAAAGAAGGUACAAAAUUUGAUGCCAAUUUUUAUGAACUUAUAGAACAGCAAGUCAGUUUACAUUUUAAUCAGGAUCAUUUUAGUCAUUUAAGACUAUGUCCUAAUGUUCAACAUUUAAAGAAUCUUUUACAGCAUAUAUAUAUGAACAAUAAUAAUGUUGAUUCAAAAAUGCUUGACAUAUAUAUUUGGGUAUUAACAGUUCUUAAUCCUGAGCCAUUACUUUUACAGAUAUUAUCUGCAGAGAAAAAUUGGCCAGUACCAAAAUAUUUUGGCGCUUGUGGACGAAUUGUAAUUGAAGAAUAUGUUGGAUUACCAUUAACUGCUUAUUACAAUGAACCAUGGUUAAAUAGAGCUAAAUUAGCAUCUAGUCUUUUAAAUGCUGCUCAUAUGUUUACCUACAGAGAUGAAAAUUUCAGUUUUUAUUUAACUGAUAUAUCAGUCGAUAACAUAGCAGUUGAUUUAAAUAGUAAUGUAAAAUUUGUGGACUUAGAAAAUGUAAUUAUUGUUGAUAAAAAUAUUGAAGAAAGAUCACCACAGUGGAAUAAGUUACAUGUAAAUAUAGAAGAUUUCAGCUGCCCUGAAUGUUUGGUAUUUUCUUCUGUUGAAAUAUGUAAUCAUAAAAUUAGUGACCACAACUAUUAUGCAAUAUGCAAGAUACUGUUAUCGCUAAACACAAAUAAUAGUAUAUUACCUGGUGGUCUUCUACAUGAUAUACCUGCAAAAAUAUUAAAACAGUAUCCAAACCUACAGUAUUUAAUAGAACAGUGUGUUAGUCCAGAUGAAUCCUUUACUAGAAUAACUGCUGGAAUGCAACUUAAGCAAUUAUUAGAUAUGAUUAUUAAAUGAUAAUUUUAUACAUAUGUACAUGUAAGGAUUUUUUCUUUCUUGAAGGUAAAUUUUUAUAACUACAUUUAUACAUAUAAACAGUUCUUACAAACCAUGUGAUAUCAACGUUUUGUUAGUUUUAUUAGUCAUAUUUGGUACUGUGAUAUAUGAUGUCCAUGCUUCAAUUGUUUCCAAAUUAUAAACAAUAUAGAAAACUUUGUUUAAUAAAAGACGCUGAACAUAAAAAUUGUAAAUAUGUAGAUACAAUACAAUAAGCUUUUUACACUAACAAUAGUUAGCAGUAGAUAAAUCCAAAUACCAUGGCAAGCAGUACUACCAGAGAAAUACCCUUUUCAAUUUACAUGUUGCAAAAGUAUUCAUAAAAGAAAAGGCAAUGUAAUUGCAAAAUCAACGUUAAUUAUAUAAAUAAUUUUGUUCCUGAGCUAAAAUAUUCCAACAUUCAAUAGCAAAACAUUUGAUACAAAAGCAUGUCUUUAAUUGAAAAUAUGUAGCAUUUUGGCAGAUGUAAUUCGGAAAUAUACGUUCAGCAAUAAGCCAACAUACACAUAUAAAAAAAUUUAUAUUGAUUACCAUGCAUUUGUCUUUUAUGUGUUAUGAUAUAAAAAACAGUAUGUAAGCAAGCUGAUACAUAAGAUGAAAGCAAGACGAAAAAAUGUAAUGAAUGAAUGACUGGCAAUAUUAGGACCAUAUAAGUAUUACAUAAGAAAUUGCAAAACAUAAGCUGUCAAGUACAUAAUUCCUUGUGUACACACAUGUACACUGAUAUACAAGCAUACAUCAACUUCACCUCAAAUAUAAAUAGUAUUAUAAAUCAGUGUCAUUAGUAUGCUCGUAUUAUGCAGCUAAGGUAUGUCAAUUUUAAUUUUAGCAAUUUAUAUCUCGGAAACUAUUAUUUUGCCGAGUUAUGUGCUCAUUCAUGUUACUGUUCUCUGCAUUGAGUACUACCACGUAAUAGAGUUUCAAAAAAAUAAGCUAGAAGUUGUUUCCCACAAGAAUUCAUUCAUGUUCUUUAAGAACUUGGAAAAAUUGGAUUUGCAAAUUUGAAAAUUUGAGGAUUCGGAAAUUUAGAAAUUAGAAAAUUUAGGAAUUUAG
rnacentral:misc_RNA from 1 species